CUGGUGUCAGCCGCCGCGGUAAUACCAGCACCUCGAGUGGUCAGGAGGUUUAUUGGGCCUAAAGCAUCCGUAGCCGGCUUUGCAAGUCUCCGGUUAAAUCCAGCUGCUCAACAGAUGGGCUGCCGGAGAUACUACAAAGCUAGGGAGCGGGAGAGGUAGACGGUAUUCUGUGGGUAGGGGUAAAAUCCACUGAUCCAUAGAGGACCACCAGUGGCGAAGGCGGUCUACCAGAACGCGUUCGACGGUGAGGGAUGAAAGCUGGGGGAGCAAACCGGAUUAGAUACCCGGGUAGUCCCAGCUGUAAACGAUGCAAACUCGGUGAUGCAUUGGCUUAUGGCCAAUGCAGUGCCGCAGGGAAGCCGUUAAGUUUGCCGCCUGGGAAGUACGGACGCAAGUCUGAAACUUAAAGGAAUUGGCGGGGGAGCACCACAAGGGGUGAAGCCUGCGGUUCAAUUGGAGUCAACGCCAGGAAUCUUACCUGGGGAGACAGCAGAAUGAAGGUCAAGCUGAAGACUUUACCAGACAAGCU
rnacentral:rRNA from 2 species